CGAGUUUGAUCAUGGCUCAGAUUGAACGCUGGCGGAAUGCUUUACACAUGCAAGUCGAACGGUAGAGGGGGCAACCCCUUGAGAGUGGGCGAACGGGUGAGUAAUAUAUCGGAACGUGCCCGGUCGUGGGGGAUAACGUAGCGAAAGCUACGCUAAUACCGCAUACGAUCUACGGAUGAAAGCGGGGGAUCGCAAGACCUCGCGCGAUUGGAGCGGCCGAUAUCAGAUUAGGUAGUUGGUGAGGUAAAGGCUCACCAAGCCGACGAUCUGUAGCUGGUCUGAGAGGACGACCAGCCACACUGGGACUGAGACACGGCCCAGACUCCUACGGGAGGCAGCAGUGGGGAAUUUUGGACAAUGGGCGCAAGCCUGAUCCAGCAAUGCCGCGUGCAGGAUGAAGGCCUUCGGGUUGUAAACUGCUUUGUACGGAACGAAACGGUGAGCUCUAAUACAGUUUGCUAAUGACGGUACCGUAAGAAUAAGCACCGGCUAACUACGUG
rnacentral:rRNA from 1 species